rnacentral:rRNA from 1 species
AACGGCCGCGGGAUCCUACACCGUGCAAAGGUAGCAUAAUCACUUGUCAUCUAAAUAAUGACUAGUAUGAACGGCCUAAUGAGGACUUUCCUGUCUCUUGUAAUCAAUCAAUGAAACUGAGCUUUCAGUCCAAAAGCUGAAAUACUCCCACAAGACGAAAAGACCCUGUGGAACUUUAAGUACCAAUCAACACAUGACAUAACCACUUUUAGUUGGGGCAACUUUGGAACAAAACAAAACUUCCAAUCUAAGAAGCAUCACCGGUAAACUAAGGCCCACACACCUACGCUUACCCCUACACUGACCCAGUAUUACUGAGUAAAGAAACAAGCUACCCCAGGGAUAACAGCGCCAUCCCCUCUUAGAGUCCCAAUCGACGAGCGGGGCUUACGACCUCGAUGUUGGAUCAGGGCCCCCAAACAGUGCAGCAGCUGUUAAAGGUUUGUUUGUUCAACAAUUAAUG